rnacentral:piRNA from 2 species
UGAUGGAGGGGACCUAUGGAUCUGGCUAUGU